rnacentral:rRNA from 1 species
AUUGAACGCUGGCGGCAUGCUUUACACAUGCAAGUCGAACGGCAGCAUGGGCUUUGGCCUGAUGGCGAGUGGCGAACGGGUGAGUAAUACAUCGGAACAUACCUCGUUGUGGGGGACAACUACUCGAAAGAGUAGCUAAUACCGCAUAAGAUCUACGGAUGAAAGCAGGGGACCUUCGGGCCUUGCGCAAUGAGAGUGGCCGAUGGCAGAUUAGGUAGUUGGUGAGGUAAAGGCUCACCAAGCCUGCGAUCUGUAGCUGGUCUGAGAGGACGACCAGCCACACUGGGACUGAGACACGGCCCAGACUCCUACGGGAGGCAGCAGUGGGGAAUUUUGGACAAUGGGCGAAAGCCUGAUCCAGCAAUGCCGCGUGCAGGACGAAGGCCUUCGGGUUGUAAACUGCUUUUGUACAGAACGAAAAGCUUCGGGCUAAUAUCCUGGAGUCAUGACGGUACUGUAAGAAUAAGCACCGGCUAACUACGUGCCAGCCGCCGCCGUAACAC